AUGACAACCUCCAGAAAGGCCUUUGAAAAUGUGAACUUUCCUGGAUGUGGAGCUGGGUGCAGGAGAGUUCGACGUGUGUACACACAGGACACAGCCCCGUGCCCGCACUGCAUGCACAGACAGAGCGUUUCUGAUCUUGCAGGGAUCCCUCUGCCCAGGCCCUGCCGCAGCUGCUCUCCUGGCUUCUGGCAGACUGGACGGUCCUGCGAAUUCCCGGGCUUUGGUCAGGGCAGUCACUCAGGACUCCUGCCUUUGGGUCAGCUUCUUCUGCCCUGUGGAGCUUUCGCGGUCUGUCAGAGGUGCCCUGUGCGACCCCCUCCCUUGCCACAGGCUGGCCGGGGCUUGGUUGUUGGAAGCGGAGCUACCGGGGCCGUUCUUGCUCUGUGUUUUGUGGACACCAGCUCUCAUCUCAGCUGGGUUCUCACCUGGGACCUGAGUGCAGACCUCUGUCACCACAGCCUGAGAUUCUGAAGCGUUUGUCCCCCAAGUGGCCCAAUUCUUUAACUGGAGAAAGCAGGCAUGUGUGUGGCCAUCUCCUCCUGGUUUCAUUUGCAUUUCCGGCUGUGCCUGCUGUUUAUCACCUCUGUGCCCUGGAGCCGGCCAAGUCUUGGAACUUGUUUCUGGGUCCCCGAACAUCAGUCCCGCCUGUUGGUGGGGGCUCUGUGAUGUCUACAUGCCUACUGCCGGGUAAAUAAACAGCUGGUAAACGAACUGAUGGAAGCCAGAGGGACAAAAACGAAAACCAAUUCAUCCCCUCCAAAAAGCCCCCCGGUUCUGGUUCACACGGGCCCCUGAGCAGACUGAGCAGAUCAACUGGAGCUGUGUUCAGAUGCUGUAAAAGCAGGGACCAGUGGCCACGCGGUCUCAGCAGUCAUGGAGCCCAGCACUUGCUGGCGAGGAGUACUGUGAGGUCACAGUGCAAGCAUCAGCCGGAUGGCGGGGACAGUGUGGGUCUGCAGGGGCAGCCACCCAGGCCCUGGUGUCUUCUUGGGGUCCGCACGUGGGAAGGGACUCUGCGCCCCACCUGACCAUUUCAGUUCCUUCUCUGUUGGGUCUGUAGCCAGAGCUGAGCACCUACUAUGUGCCAGGCACCACCCUCAGCUGGGGCACGUAGCAGAAAGCCACACAGCCUAGACUUCUGUCUUCAUGGAGAAAGAGAAGGAGAGAGAUAGGUUACCUGCUUUUAACUGCAGAGGUCAGGGAUAAGAAAAAACCCGAGCAAGGGAAGGGAGGGGCCCUGAAGUGUCUGGUGAAAGAAGGAACAGCUAGUGCAAAGGCCCUGAGGCAAGAACAAUGAGGAAGGAGGAGGGGAGUGGGGGACU
rnacentral:lncRNA from 1 species